AUUGAACGCUGGCGGCAGGCCUAACACAUGCAAGUCGAACGAGUGGCGGACGGGUGAGUAAUGUCUGGGAAACUGCCUGAUGGAGGGGGAUAACUACUGGAAACGGUAGCUAAUACCGCAUACCAUCAGAUGUGCCCAGAUGGGAUUAGCUAGAUGGUGGGGUAACGGCUCACCAAGGCGACGAUCCCUAGCUGGUCUGAGAGGAUGCCCAGCCACACUCGAACUUACACACGGUCACGACUCCUACGAGCGGCAGCAGUGGGGAAUAUUGCACAAUGGGUGCAAGCCUGAGCCAGCCAUGCCGAGUGUCGGACGAAGGCCUCCGGGUUGUAAAGUACUUUCAGCGGGGAGGCGUUACCCGCAGAAGAAGCACCGGCUAACUCCGUGCCAGCAGCCGCGGUAAUAC
rnacentral:rRNA from 1 species